GGUGGUGGUGGUGGUGGUGGUGGUGAUGGUGAUGGCGAGAUAGUGGUGGUAGUACGAAAGUUAAACUUUGUGAAGUAGAAGGAAGAAGACAAAAUCAUGGAGAGACAAGAAGGGCGGGGAUCAAGCUGAAGAAAGGCGAGAGAGCUAUAAAAGAGGCACCGCUCUCGACGAUGGGCAUCAAACACCUCGACAUGAAGGUGUUCGUAAUUACGCUCCUAUUGGCGUGCAUCGCCACCGCCUACGGCGGUUACAUAAGCAGCGGAGGUUGGUCCGGCGGCGGUGGCGGCUGGUCUGGUGGCGGUGGAG